rnacentral:rRNA from 1 species
GACGUAGGGUCCAAGCGUUAUCCGGAUUUACUGGGCGUAAAGAGCGCGUAGGCGGUCUGUUAAGUGUAGAGUGAAAUCCCAGGGCUCACCCCUGGAACUGCUCUGCAUACUGGCAGACUAGAGGGUCGAAGAGGUAUGUGGAAUUCCUGGUGUAGCGGUGAAAUGCGUUGAUAUCAGGAGGAACACCCAUGGCGAAGGCAGCAUACUGGUCGACAUCUGACGCUGAGGCGCGAAAGCGUGGGUAGCAAACAGG